UACGUAGGGUGCGAGCGUUAAUCGGAAUUACUGGGCGUUAAAAGCGUGCGCAGGCGGGUCUGUUAAGACCGAUGUGAAAUCCCCGGGCUUAACCUGGGAAUGGCAUUGGUGACUGCACGGCUAGAGUGUGUCAGAGGGGGUAGAAUCCACGUGUAGCAGUGAAAUGCGUAGAGAUGAUGGAGGAAUACCGAUGGCGAAGGCAGCCCCCUGGGAUAACACUGACGCUCAUGCACGAAAGCGUGGGGAGCAAACAGG
rnacentral:rRNA from 1 species